CUAAUUAUAAAAAAUUAAUAAUUCAUAAAAAAAUUUCUUCUCCAGAUCAAGAACUCGCUUUACUCUUUCUCCAAAGGCAUUUUGCUCUUUCUCAAGCUUUAAUGAGCUGAAGACGAAGACCUAAUCGAAGAGCUGAGCUGAUGAUGGAAGAACUUAGCUGAAGAUCGAAGAACUAAGCUGAUGGUGGAUCUUUCUGGUAGUGAACGAUUUGACAAGUUGGAAGUUACUGGAGAUAUCCUCAAGGAGGCACAACAUACUAAUAAAUCUGUCUCUUGGUUGGGCUAUGUGAUCACGACAUUGGUGAAGAAGAAUUCCCACAUCGCUUACAAAAGCAUCAAUCUCACAUUAAUCUUGCACAACUCUGCAGGUGGACAUGCUAUAAUGUUGAUGUUUACUCAUGUCAGUCCUGAAGUUGUUUCCUUUUGAGAAACAAUUAGUACUUUGAAGUUUGCACAGAGGGUUUCGAGUGUAGAAUUUGGUGAAACUCGUUUAAAUAAAGAGAGCAUCGAAGUUUUCUGCCUAAAUGCAGAGGUGUAGGUGCCAUUUGAAAAUAAUCUCAAUAUGGAAGCUUCGGUUAGUCCUCAUUCAAGAAAAGGAUUGGUAUUUCGUCACUAGAUUCGAGACAUCUUGAUGUUUAGUUUUCCUUAUUGAAAGAAUGGUAGUAGAAUUAGCUAUUUUCCUAUAUGAUGAUGUGUGGGCCAUGUCCCAAUAUAUUAGUAUGUCUAAUAUGGUGAUUUUAAGACUCGUCCUUUCAUUAUAUUUUUCUAUAAAAGAGAUAUUUUGAAGUAUAA